UACAGAGGGUGCAAGCGUUGUUCGGAAUCAUUGGGCGUAAAGCGCGUGUAGGCGGCCACCUAAGUCUGGUGUGAAAGCCCAGGGCUUAACCCUGGAAGUGCACUGGAUACUGGGUGGCUAGAGGACGAGAGAGGACAAUGGAAUUCAUGGUGUAGGGGUGAAAUCCGUAGAUAUCAUGAGGAACAUCUGUGGCGAAGGCGAUUGUCUGGCUCGUUUCUGACGCUGAGACGCGAAAGCGUGGGGAGCAAACAGG
rnacentral:rRNA from 1 species